rnacentral:tRNA from 1 species
ACAUCGAUAGUAUAUACUAGUACAGUUGCCUUCCAAGCAAAAAGCCCAUCCUAGGCCGAUGUA